rnacentral:tRNA from 1 species
AGCAGUGUGGCUUAGUGGUGAGAGCACGGGCUUGGGAGUCGGAGGACCUGGGUUCUAAUCCAGGCUCCGCCA